AUUGAACGCUGGCGGCAGGCCUAACACAUGCAAGUCGAACGGUAACAGGAAGAAGCUUGCUUCUUUGCUGACGCGUGUCAGAUGGGUGAGUAAUGUCUGGGAAACUGCCUGAUGGAGGGGGAUAACUACUGGAAACGGUAGCUAAUACCGCAUAACGUCGCAAGACCAAAGAGGGGGACCUUCGGGCCUCUUGCCCUCUGAUGUGCCCAGAUGGGAUUAGCUAGUAGGUGGGGUAACGGCUCACCUAGGCGACGAUCCCUAGCUGGUCUGAGAGGAUGACCAGCCACACUGGAACUGAGACACGGUCCAGACUCCUACGGGAGGCAGCAGUGGGGAAUAUUGCACAAUGGGCGCAAGCCUGAUGCAGCCAUGCCGCGUGUAUGAAGAAGGCCUUCGGGUUGUAAAGUACUUUCAGCGGGGAGGAAGGGAGUAAAGUUAAUACCUUGGCUCAUUGACGUUACCCGAAGAAGAAGCACCGGCUAACUCCGUG
rnacentral:rRNA from 1 species